GUUCCUCCUUCUAGGAAACAACCAUCACGGAAGGAAUGCGGGAUAAAAGGGACAAGGAAACAAGAUGCGCCUACGGCACCCGAACGGAUGAGUUUAAGCGAUAAGGGAAGAGAUUCGGAUUUUCAAGAAAGAAGUGUUUGACUACAUGGAUAACAACUUCAAAAAGUUGUUAGAUGCAAUAAAGGGCAAUCAAACACCAGAUAAGGUCGGCGACACAAUGUUAAAAGGCGACUUACAUAGUGAUGGUGGGAUUUAUCAAGGCAAUCAAAGUGGCGGUACGGUAAAGCUUUCAACCAAAGAGAAUCAAGGUGGUGGUGCCACUUCCGCGC